GUCCACGCCGUAAACGAUGAGUGCUAGGUGCUGCGGGUAUUGACCCCUGCGGUGCCGUAGCUAACGCGUUAAGCACUCCGCCUGGGGAGUACGGCCGCAAGGCUAAAACUCAAAGGAAUUGACGGGGGCCCGCACAAGCGGUGGAGCAUGUGGUUCAAUUCGACGCAACGCGCAGAACCUUACCUGGGUUAAAUCCACUCGAACUUAGCAGAGAUGCUUUGGUGCCUUUCGGGGAGCGAGUGAGAAGGUGCUGCAUGGCUGUCGU
rnacentral:rRNA from 1 species